GGACAGUUGGAAUGCAAAAAGGAGAGGAAUCUCUCUAUAUAAAGGGAUAGUGGACAGGGGUCUGCAAAGAGAGGGGUUGUGAGGGAGGAAAGAGCCCCUUCAGGAAAAGGAGGCUGCCGUUGUGUGAAUUAGAUGAGGAAACAAGAUGAACAACAUCUGUUAAAUCAGGAAGCGGGAGAGAUUGGGAGGAAGGGGAAGAGCGAGUGUAGGAGGGAGAAGAGGGAAAGAAGGGAGGGCCCAAGCCUGUCAGCGGCCUGAGGGGAACAAGUGGCCAUGGUGGUUAGGAGGGGAAGAACAGGAGCAGGGCUCGAGUGAGGAGGUCUCUGGGUAUAGAGGGCUGCAACUUGGCCAACAGGCACCAGCAACACUGCAGCUGCGACCAAGAGGCAUGAGGGGGAUGGAAGCAACUGGAUGGAGGAGGAGGAGCAGGAGUGCAGCUCAGGGCCAGAGAUUCUUCAAAACCCCAAGCAAAAGCUUUCCAAAUCCUGCUAGAUGGAAUCCUCCAACAAGAACUGCUGAGGGGCAUGAAUUGCCGGUUGCCAUGGAGAAAUCAUAUCAUCAUUAGCGGAGACAGCGUGAUCUGGGGUUUGCUAAGAUGUGAAAAACUUGGGAGUUAUGCUGCGUUAUUCAACAGAAUCAAUAUGAAUAAAAGAAAUCACCUCUG